UAUCUUUCUUGCUGUCUUUUUUGUCACCAAUUCAGAAAUGGGCUGAUAAGCAGCUAGCAGACUACCAUAAGCACUUUGCUGAGGAGUUGGCAACUAUGGAGGAUGUGGUAUUAGUUGCAAUGGUUACUCGGAGGCUUCUUUUGGAAGAAUCUGAUCAGGUAAUACAAUCUACAUCUGCCACAGAUCGGGAUCAGAUAGAAUCAUACAUAUCAACCUCCAUAAAGAAUGCAUUUACGAGGUCUCUGCAAGCUGUUGAAAAAUUAGACACAAUGGAUGAGCAUUCUCUAGCAUUACUUGCAGAAGAAACCAAGAAGCUUCU
rnacentral:misc_RNA from 1 species